UGGGGAAUAUUGCACAAUGGAGGGAACUCUGAUGCAGCGACGCCGCGUGAGUGAUGAAGGAAUUCGUUUCGUAAAACUCUGUUCUAUGGGAAGAAAAGGACUGUACCAUAUGAGAAAGCUCCGGCUAAAUACGUGCCAGCAGCCGCGGUAAUACGUAUGGAGCGAGCGUUGUCCGGAAUUAUUGGGCGUAAAGGGUGCGCAGGCGGCUUUACAAGUUGGAUGUGAAAUAUUGUGGCUCAACCACAAACGUGCAUCCAAAACUGCAAAGGUUGAGUUAAGGAGAGGUAAGUGGAAUUCCUGGUGUAGCGGUGGAAUGCGUAGAUAUCAGGAGGAAAACCGGUGGCGGAGGCGACUUACUGGACUUAAACUGACGCUCAGGCACGAAAGCGUGGGGAGCAAACAGG
rnacentral:rRNA from 1 species